rnacentral:rRNA from 1 species
UACGUAGGGUGCGAGCGUUAAUCGGAAUUACUGGGCGUAAAGCGUGCGCAGGCGGUUUUGUAAGCCAGAUGUGAAAGCCCCGGGCUUAACCUGGGAAUGGCAUUUGGGACUGCAAGGCUGGAGUGUGGCAGAGGAGACUGGAAUUCCUGGUGUAGCAGUGAAAUGCGUAGAUAUCAGGAGGAAUACCGAUGGCGAAGGCAGGUCUCUGGGCUGACACUGCCGCUCAUGCACGAAAGCGUGGGGAGCAAACAGG